rnacentral:rRNA from 1 species
UACGUAGGGUGCAAGCGUUUGUCCGGAAUUAUUGGGCGUAAAGAGCUCGUAGGCGGUUUGUCGCGUCUGCUGUGAAAUCUGGGGGCUCAACCCCCAGCCUGCAGUGGGUACGGGCAGACUAGAGUGCGGUAGGGGAAAUUGGAAUUCCUGGUGUAGCGGUGGAAUGCGCAGAUAUCAGGAGGAACACCGGUGGCGAAGGCAGUUCUCUGGGCCGUAACUGACGCUGAGGAGCGAAAGCGUGGGGGAGCAACAGG